GGAGAAAGCCAGGAGUCCUAAUGACAGAGUGCUGUCUGCUGCCACACAGAGGUCACUGGACAGGAAGAAGAGGGUGGGUGAGUCUCCAGGACAAGCCAGGAAAGUACAGAAGAAGCCAAAGAGCCCUCCCACUAACAGGAUCCUGAAGCCAAGUCAGGGUCAGAACGCCUCAGUCCCAGGUCAGCUAAACCGACAGGGUCUGUCUGUCAGGAGCUGGUCCAGAAAUACCCCUGAGGACAGAGUGAGGCGCUCAGAUAGCCUGAAGAAGCAGAACUCCCUGGGCUAACUGGUUCCUCCCUCAGUCCCUCUAUGACCCCUCACUACCUGACCCUUGGCCACUGGGCCUUCUAUCAGCCCCAUGUUUCACUAUGGUUCGACCACCCCCACCACCACAACAACCACCAAUGCUACUAGUCCCUCUAACCUCCUUCUAACCACCCUCUGAUGGUUCAGUCCAGUGCUCUCUGCCCAGGGCACACCCUACCAAAUGGAUUGUUACUAUACUUACACUGAUUUUUCUACUAUUACAAACUUAUGAACAGUUCAUGUACUCCUUAGGUUUGAAUGCUGCUGUGCACUCUUGUGCCAAGAUAAUUAAUGCAUUAAUGCUGCUAGAUAGCUAUAUUUGCUGCUUAACUUACAAAGACUUUGUAGCUAGAGGCCUUCUGUAGUGGAUAUGUAGUAGGGACACGGACUCAUAAAGAAGCAUGACAAAAGUAAAGGAAGUAGAUUCCAUUAGAGGUUAGAGGUAUGGAUUGUCUUCUGACAGGUGGCGUCAUUCCUCCUCUCAUUUUUUAUUUCUUUUUAAAUUGAACCUUUA